UCAUGUCAGUGGAAAGUAAACAAAAAAAUUGCUCUGAAGUGGCUAAAUUGAAAUUCAUUUCCACAUGCAGUGCAAUUCCUGGAGGAUCUUUCCCAUCUCCUCAUGGUUAAUUUGCAUCCAAGCUCUCCUGCAACCCAUUAGAAAAGAGUUAUGGAAAAAUUGCACAUAGAAUAUGAUGGUGUGUUAUGAGGAAAAAUUAUUAAGAUGAAGUUUAUUUUACUUAAAUAUUUUUAAGCAAAUUUGUUGAUUUCUGCUGUGCCUUGAAAUGUGUAACACUUGCCUAAUUUUUGUCUUUCAGCUGAGGAACUCAAAAUGUGAAAGUUGCUCCCCAAAGGAAGUUUGGCAUUAAAGUUUGAAAAAUCAGGCAAGCCAACCCUGCAGUCCUGAGGUCCUGAAGCCCAGCAGGACCCAGCCCAACAUGGCAGGAAGAUGUUCUGCCCUUGCUGAGCUUUGGAAGGACUGCAAAUAUCAGGCUCUGCAUGAAUCCUGGAUUUCCGUGAAUAGAUGGAAUUGAAAUUGAAAGAUACCAUCCAAAUAGGUAAACACGUCAGAAACAUUAUCUGGGUCACAUUUGGGCACCAGGGUUUGCUCUGUUUUAAGUGCAAAUGGGUUACUGAUGAUUUAGAUGAACCUCCUGAGGAGUGUUUGAAAUUCCUGGCACACAUUUGCUAUCCCAUCUGCUAGAAGGCCUUUGAUGAGCCCACAAAGAGACAUUGGACUGGAGCUGCUGCUCUUCAUCUCUGGUUGGACUUCUUAUGAUUGACCAGUUUGUAUUUUUUGCAUUUGUAUUACUUUGAUUCCCAAGGAGAAAAAGGGUUUUCAAGGGACUGUGUCACAAGCUGCCAAGACAGAGGUGUUCUGUGAACUCUCCAUCCAUGUGCUGUCACCAACUUGUUCCAACACUGCCAGUUCUUUAUGUCUGCUAAAAUUAUUAUGUAGAGUCAAAUUUUGCUCUCGUUUAGGCCAGAUCUAACAGUAACUAAGUAAUUUGUUCUCUCUGAGGGAACUUGAGGCUAGCUUGGGUUACAGAUGCUAAAACUGUUUAGCACAUAACUAGAUGGCAUCUUCUUCUCUUUCACGCCCUUCUUCACCUGUUGAAAAGCAUCUUUUCAGGAGAUUGUGUUAUAACUUACUAAAACAUACCGUCCAGUAGGGUUGAAUUCAAAUAGAAUAUUUUCCAUUUUUUAAAGCAGAAGAGAGCUGUGGCAGGAGGGCACAGGGACCAGGGUUGGAAAGGAAUUUUUUUCAGGAAUUAGAACCGAGAGUCCUGUUGACAAAGCCUGAAGUGCUUUUUCUUCACACAUAGAAAUAAGAGGAGCUUGCGUGUCUUUGCAGUGCCUCUCAAGAGAUCCCUCUUGCAGAAGAAGGAGAAGGUUCCCACAAGUCCCAGCCCCUGGGCAGAGCUGCAGCACAGCUCCAGGGAGACUCAGCAGAUGGAGGAGAUGAGGUUCAGGGGGAAAAGCUGCUCUUGCAGCAUGGAAGAAACGACAAAGCAGGGAAUGUUCUCUAUUCCCCAUCUGCUCCACGAUCUCAUAAUUUUGCAGUAGUGCCUUAUCUUUUCAAUUCAGUAGCCUGCCUCUGGACAUCUCCUGAGACAUGCCACAAUCUGAAUAUGCUGAACAGUGCCUCUGCCCAAGAGCUGCCUCCCGAGCCACAGCCUGUUGCAGAGCUGAUAGCCCUGGCAAGAGUGAAGGAAGGCUCAGAUGUGAUGAUGCUGUUCUACAAACAGGUGAGCACAGGACACAUAUACAAAACCGCAGCAAAUGUUUGCUGAGACCUCACCCCCAGGCUAAUUGCUUCUGCCCCUGGUGGGAAUGUCUACAUUUUCUUCCACUGAGGGCCUUUAGACAUAUUAAAGGCAUGUCAGGAACUGAGAUCCCAGGGGAUCCAUUGAUCUUAUUUCUGUGGAUGCUUUUACCCUGGGUCUAUUUGAAGAAGGAUGAUUCAUUCAACUGCUUGAGCUUAUGGGUCUGUGUGUCACUUCCCACUGUAAGAAGGGGGGUCUUCUUUGCUAUCAUGGACUGGUUGAGGCUAAUUUUGGGAUAGAUCUAGCAUUGAAAAAAUGCUUUACGCAAUACAGCAGCUGAUUCAGUUUCUUCCAUGCUGGAUGCUGGUGUUUAGAGUCUCCAAGGCAGGAAGUGUUAUCAAGCAACAUCAAACAGAUGUUCCUCAUCAUGCUCCAGCUGCAUUGACUGGCAACCUGCUCAGUCAAACACUCGAGGGGGACACAGGCAUUCAUUCUGCAUAGACAGCAGUUUAUUUAACAAUCCACCUGGAAGCAGCAAAGGAUCUCUUAAAAGAAAUAUCUGUACCAGUGUUCAUUGUAAAUGCACCAGAAGCUCUUGUAGUCAUGGCACCCCCAAGAACCAUUUCCAGGAAGGGGCCUGAGUUUUCCCCCCGAUAGCUCAGGAGGAUAAAUCAUCCUGAUUUUGCAGGAAAUGUGAAGAAAUUUUUCUCUGGAUUUUCACACCUGCUGGUCACGGUAUGAAUCCACAUUGGCAACAUCAUCUUUUGAUGGGGUGCACAGUGAACUCUUGCAAUGCAGGAUGCAGCUAAACAUUCUGGUUUGGAAUGGCUGAAGGAAGAAUCGAUCAGUAUCAAAAUCCCAGGGUCUUCCAUUGUUGAUCGAAAGAAAAGGCCCCUCUUUGUGGCCAGGAACUCCAGCAGGUGUCUCUGGACCUUCCAGAGGCAAAGAUUAAGCAUAUUGUUGCUAAAGGGAACAUCUUCACAGGGAUGUUGCAGGAACUGAAGAGAUGAGAUUAGGAUAGUGGGGCAAUACCAGACAUCAGCGGGUGUCAGCUCAGGUGAUUGCUUCAGGGCUCUGCCCUGCCUGGACUCCAAAGCACGGCAAUAAACCAGCCCUGUUUGCUGGCUGCCAUGGCUGUGCUUGCUCCCAUGGCUGGCACAAGCACAUUUGUGCUGUUUUGUGUGCAGGGCAUGCAUUAGGGGGUGUGUGAUGGUCCUGGAAAUCUGGACUCUCCAGCUUUGAGGCAUGGCCAGAGCACUUGCCAUUGGGCGGGACAACAGCUCUUUGCAGUCUGAGUGAAGGCAGUCUGGAAUUUCCUCCAGAAACCUUCAUGCCUCACCUGCACUGAGUCUGGAGCCAAGGUGGAAGCUGCUGGGGACAGCUUUCUUUGAACAUCUACUUAUCCACAAAGACCGGAGUUUUGGGUCCAGUAACUGAAAUGGAGCUAAAGAGAACAUCUCCAUCCACAGUGUGGGAAGGUGGGAGGUCUUCCUGCAGGCGGAAUGUGUCCAGUGUGAUGCUGCUUCAACUACUUUGAGAGUUGUGGUCACUUUGAGAGAGGCACAGGUAGAACUGGAGCACAGGACCCUGCAAAGUGGCACUCUGCAGCUGCCACUGCUGGAACCCAACCUCAGCUCCCCACUAUAGCUGGAACUGCACACCAGCCCCCCAGCUACAGCAUGCUCAGGCUGAUUGCUUUAAAUCACUCAGCUCAAAUAGUGAUAAUGUCCAUAAAAAAAAAUAAAUCUUGAAUCCAAAUAACCCUGUGCAGUCCAGGGUAGCACUUGGGUUUAGGCAUGUCCUUGGGCUGCUAGAGUCCACAUGGGCCAUAGCCUUGUGUCCAGCACAGCCUAUCAGGCUGUGGUCACAGCUGGACAGAUUAAUGACCCACAUGCCACAAUGAAUUUUCUGUAGUAUAAAUCAGCUGUCAUUUGUUCCUGGCUUAUCAAUGGGAAGGAAAACACUGCAGUGCAACACCUCCAUGAAAGUUGAAGUCUUGGAGCCUCAUAAUUGGUAGGAGCAUGGGCUGCAGAGGGGAUUGCACGAUAAGAAGGCUCUCCCACUUCUCCAAAAAUUUUGACGGUUACCAGAAGCUGGCAGCAGUGUUUCAACCCUACAUGGGAUGUAACAAAAAGAUGAACCAACUGAAGAAGAAAAAAUAUGACUCUGAUGUGUCUACAGAUCAUUUCCAGAGGCAGGAUCAUAAGAGUUGACUCUGAAUUCAGGGACACGCAUGCAAGCAGGGCCAAGACAGCUUUCAGCCACUCCUUCACUUCCCCCUGAAGAUCCCUAAGGAAAUAUUAUCCCACAGUUGGGGUCCAGCAUGGACAUAAUGUAGGUUUGAUAGGGCAGGCAGCCAUCAGUGGUGUUAUCUCCCUUCUGCAAGGAGGCUCCUUCUAGAUCGAGGCUUUCACUUGGCACACAGCACUGAACUCAGGAUGUGAAAAGAGCAGAGUGUGUGGGAGCUGCUGAUUUUGUCUCCUUGGUGGGACUGUUAUUUUUAAUAAAAAUAUCAGAUGUUGCACUUCCUUGAAAACAUGACAGUCUAUGGGAGAGUUCAUUAGUUUAUGGCAAGUUGCAACACUGUGGAGCCUGGCUGAAAGCAAAUGUUAUUGCAAAGAGUUAUCACUAAGGGGAGAGGAAAACAAUGUCCUGAGGAAAUAAACUCGACAGAGCAAAUCACAGAGCAAUAUAAAGCUGCGGAGUACAGGCAGUAGAGUGGAAUUCUUUCUCAGAAUAAAAGGCCCCAGUCACCUGUUUUUAAUGCCAGUGUUUGCUUUCUGCAUAUUCAGUGAAUAUGUGGGAUACAUCUGUGCAGAACUCUGUCUCUAAUGGGAGUAACAAGUAUCAUGAUUGCAGCUGGCUGGACUUAAAUAGUGAUAACACCAGUAAAAUACCAGUAAACAUCACUUCUGUGUUGGUUGUUGGGGUUUUAUUGUUAAAAAAUUGUGUGGUUUAAUUUCAGUUUGUACCAAAUAUUUCAGGAAGUAUUUCUUUCCUCAAAAAUACAGAGUGAAGCUUUACUGAUGGCCGGUUAUACCGAUGACUAGCCUGUCUCAAGUCUGAGCAAAGUUGGAGGUGCAAGGGGAGAGGAAAUAGCAGUUUUCAUUAGUCUCACAUAGCUGUACAUUGCCACUCUUCUUAACCUUCAGUUAAUCUAAUUCACACCAAGGACUGAAAAUGUAGCAUCAGAUUUGGAGGUGUGUAAAGGUGAAUUGAAAAUAAGCCAUCAUUUUCCUAUCUGAGUCUCAUGGCACUUGCAACAUUGCAGAGCACUCCAGUUCUGCAUUGUCAGGGUUCUGCUUGUGUCUUCCAUUUUUAUUUCCUAGCUGGAGAAUUUGCUGCAGCUUUGCUUAUUUACCUUUAUGGUAGGAUGCACAAGUUUCUCCUUCAGGCAGUGGGAUCCUGUGCCUGCUCCCAACCCAGCUACCUACACCGAGCCAAUGUGGGCCUCUGGUAGCCCCUUGGAGCUUUUGAGGUUGGUAAUUUCUUCAUUUAUUUUGGCUGUAUUAAAUCAAUAUGACACAGAUUGUCAUGACCAGUCCUGCAGCUCUGUGUCCUGGGAUGGGCAGUGCCCACCUCCACAUGCUGCUUAGCCUGGGAGGAGAGGUUUGCUCUGCUGCUCUGGCUCAUCCUUGGACCUGCACAGCUUCUUUCUGCAAAUGCCUGUGAAAUGCAGGGUGACUCUUCCUUUGUCUUUUUCCUUCCCUCAUCCUCUCACAGUUUGACCCAGUUUUCCUAAAUUUUGCAUGCAUUGAUGUUGGGGUGCAAUCCCAGUAGAGCCCCUGCCAGAGGAGUAGGCUGGCAUUUUGGUGGCACUACAACCUCUGUUUUUAGCUCUGGUGACCUCAGAAAUAAGAGGCCAACUUCUUGAACAAGCUGCCUGAGGAGCCUGGGAUAGGUCAGGGAUUUCUUGGGCAGAUCAAAAGCCAGAGAUGCUUUUCUGACAGCCAUGGAGCUCCCUGUCCUGAUUUAUGAAUUCUAUAUGCUCUAUAUAUUUAGCUGAAGAGGCUCACUGGGGGAACAGUUUUUGCAAGCAGGAAAGAACAUGUGACUUCAGAAAGUCACCAUCCAUCAAGAGAUAACCCCUCAAAUGCACUCUUUGUAGAGCUAUCAACCAUGGCAAAAGGAGCCCAGGAGACUUGGCAAAAAAAAUGCUAGGAUAAUUUAGAAGACCAGCAUUUUUAACAGGAGACCUGUUAAAAAUGGGGAAGCAAAUCAUGGUAACGCAAACUCAAACCCCAGGAACUGGGAGCUCUGGACUUGGGGUAGCAGACCUGCAACCUCACCUCACUUCAAAAAUCUUCUUUCUCUUUCUUUGGAACCUCACCAGAGCCCAAAGAGUAUGGCUUGCUCUCCCUUGGUAAGUGCUAUGUGCCUUGGCAGAUUUGGAGUUUCAUAUCCUCUUUUGGAGGCUGGAUGCACAAAGGCUCUGCCAGGCUCCUGGGGCUCUUCACAACCCUGAGAGCUGUUGUCACACCAGUGACACUUAGCUCAUGUUCUUGAGGUAGUCUCCACAGGCUAGAGGGUUGUGAUGCUUUGCUGUCCCCUCUGUGAGAUGAGACUGAGCUCAGCCCCAUGCCUGUUUGGAUGUGAGCCCUGUUCCUGACAGAUGGAGCACAAGGGAUAAGUUCCCAAUAUUCAUAGAAAACAGGGCAGGAAACCUAAUUCCUACUUUUAAGGCCAGAGCAUUUCCAUGUGCACAAUACAGUAAUCCUGACAUCAAAUCUGUAGUUUCUGUAUAGGUUACAGACUUCCAAGCAGGUAGUCUUGCAAUCUUGGAGGCUUUGAGCAACAAAUAUCCACCACAUCCCAAACCUGCUGGAACAACUUUACUGUGUUGUGCCUCAUUUUAGCUUCCAGUAUGCACAUCUUGUUUUAUCUCUGUUCCAUAGAAGAGGAAGCCCUCUGCCAGAAAAGGUUUUCCCAGGACCUGGCCAUAGAUGACCAGCUCACCUCCCAGCUCUCUUCUGGCCAGCCUAAAGACACUGAAAGCCUCCAGCUCCAACCCCACAGUAUGACAGUUUUCCAAUUCUGAAUGAUCCUCAUUUUUUUUUUUUGUCCUAGUCCAGGUAAGUCUAGGACUGCACCCGCUCUAUGUCCUGGAAGGAUUCUCUGCUCAUCUGUGUGAGGGUUUGUGUUAGCAGUGGUGAAACUGCAGCUCCUGUCUUCACCUUCUGAUGAAAAAGCCAUGUAAAAAUGCUGCCCUCCAGCAGGCACUGCCAUCGAGGAGUUUAAGAGUGGGUAUUUUGAAGCCUUGGUAGGGCUGUCCAUGGACAAUUAAGGAAAUCCACUAGCUGAAUUUCAGUGUUUUAUCAGAUCAGAGCCCUUUUUUCCACUGCAUAUGAACUGAAAUGGUCAGAUGUGCCGUGGGAUGGCCAUUCAGUGAAGUUGUGGAUUAAAGGCAUAGACAGGCAGCAUGGAACACAGGUUGGGGUCUCUGCUCCCUGGGGUAAAGUCUUAGGGACAGCAGCAAGGUCCCUACAAAUGCUCAGCUGGAGUUAUUCUGGGAUAACAGAGGCACAGUCUAGGCCAUGUUCUCUGUGGAGAGUCUUAAAUCUCUGUGCUUAGAGAAGCAACUUUGCUGUUGCCACCAAGCUGGUGCUGUCACUCUUUAAAGAGAGUCUGGAUGAGUGGUAUGAUUUGUUGACUGAAGAACAGCGGAAUGUGCAUAUUCUGUCAGUUUGGGGAAUUUGGGGAACUAGAUCUUGCCUUCUCUUUUAAUGUCAAUGUGAAGUGGCCUCCUCGGGUAUUUUUACUUUCUCAGAAUAACUGUAGGGUCAAUCUUAACACUAAAUGCAGAGGAAGUGGAUGUAGUCCCAGAAAACAUCACUGGUGAGCUGAAUCACAGAGAGCAAGCCAUGGCUUAUUUUUUUUACCCUGUGCAGAGGCAAAUUUUGUCAUCAUAUCACUCACAUAACCUUUCAGAUGAACUUAGUAAUCAUGAUACGUUUUGGUUUGGCUUCUUUCAGAUUAAAACCUUGCCUUUCAGAAAAAGGAAACCAUAAGUUAAAUAACUCCAAAAUUAGGUAUUUCUAAAGGAUAGUUAGUGGUCUUCUUUCUUACCAAAAUCAACCCAAGAUUGUGUUUAAAUAAUAACCUGUAGUAAUUCCUGCUCCAAAUGUGAUUAAGUUAGCAGGAUGUUAUCAGUAUAGCAUCCUACAUUUCAAACCACACUUUAGGGUAAUAGCUACAAAAAUGAGUACUAUAGAUCUCCAUAACUUUGAAAAAUCCACCAGAUACUGUGUUCUAAAUCUCCCCAUCUGGUUCUCUCUACUUCAACAGUUGCACCCGUGGUUUUGUUUGCCUACACACAAAUUACUGACCGAUCAUUCUUUUAUUCCCUGGUCUUGUAGAUAGGGGGACCCAUGUAAAGUUAAUGCAGAUACAGAUCCCUGCCCCCAGUGACUUCAUUGGGAUGCAAAAAUACUGGAAUUAUAAUCCUCCUCCUUCGUCACUUUGAGCAAAAAGUAAUUUUAGUUGCACUGAAAUUUCUAUAGCAAGGGCAACAGGUCUGUGUUUGGAAGAGUUCGCUUUUAAAAAUAGUGUCCAUGCAAAUAUAUAAAUACAUGCUUUGUAGGGAUAUAUGCCUGUAUACACAUACACAGACUCUGUAUAUACAGAAAGACACACACACAUACUUAGGAGAUGUGUAUAUAACACUCACUUAUAUACAAAUCCAUUCCCUGUUAUGAAACAAUCAUCAAGAUAUAAACAAGAAAAAGUUAAACCACGGAUGGGCACAUUUUCAAGUGCUGCUGGAGGGUUUUAUCUACAGUAUUGAAGAAGUGCUAUCAAAACUGAAACAGGGCACUUAUUACAAAGAAAUCUUUACGUAAGUGCUGGAAAGGUUUGCCGAAUAACCAGAUGUUGUUGCAAAGACACUUCUCCUCCCCCCUCCUCACUUCUUUCCUUCUUUAAUAGUUCGAUUAAUUCUGCGCAUAAACCAGGGCUGAUAAAAGUUCUAAGCUGCAAACUUCACCACAUCUGGACACUGUCGAAGCCGGAUCAUUCAGCGGUGCACUUCAGUUGCGUUUAAUCUCCCUCAAUAAAAUAAAAACUUCCAACAA